CUUUGGUAGUGGGAACACGGUGUGAUUCCGUGACUGUGCCGCAACGGUAAUAGUCCGACACCACCCAAUAG
rnacentral:ncRNA from 2 species